rnacentral:lncRNA from 1 species
UGGGACCUCUUCAUUCCUUUUCCUCACUCAGCUCUGCCUGUCCCAAGGCCAAGUUAGAGAAACAGCAUCUUUAUUCUUAUCCAAAUCCUUCACUUUGAUUUGAUCACUUCACACCACAGUUCUUUCUAACUUGAAUGUCUCCAAGAUGAUAGACCUCUGAGAAUUAAAGUUCAAAGUGAAUGGAUAAUCUCAGCAGAAAAAGUUGAGAAUAAACUGAAAAUGAGAUUGUCCCAUCUACAAUGCCUCAGCAGUCUCUUGUUUCUAUGGCACUGAUAAGGAUGGUCCUUGUGGAUGAAAAAAAAAAAGAAUGGGAAAUAUAGCAGUGACCACUGAUGGAGCAUCUGCUGCGUGUGUCAGCUGUUGCACUAAGUUCCUUCUAAACCUUGUCUUAACUGAAAUCUCACAGCAAUCCUGUAAGAUGCCUCCUGUUACCUCUGAUUUGAAAAUUAAGAAACUGAGACUCAAAGAAGUAAAAUCGAUUGCUGAAAAAUCACAGAAUUGUUUGACUGCAAACCCAUGUGUGUUCUGCAACUACAGCACAUCAGCCUAAUUUUGUGCCUGUGCAAACACUGAGGAGGUGUCAGGGGUGCCCUGCUUUCAAAAUACAUUGUAAUUGCAGUGGGCAAGUCUAAAUUACUGUUCGGAACACUUACUCUUUCAGUGGACAUUGGCCAAGAGUCAAGAAUUGAUCAACCUUCACUGAAUGUGCUUGCGGAGCCCUCCUAAUGUGGAGCCCAGGGAGGAAUUUAUGUAGGGGCAUAGCCUGGAGCGCCCCCUCCUCACACCAGCAUCAAGAAGGGCAGGUUCCCCUCAGGGUUCUGGAGAGAGAUCAACUGCCUGAUGCUCAAAGAAGAGAAAAGAAGAAACCAUUGACAUUUGCUGUCCAGUUAUCAGAAGUCAGGCCAUGCAUGAAUGCUUCACCUGUAUUAUUCAACUUCUGUCUCACAAUAACCAGAUAUAUAAGCUGCCAGAGCACAUUUCGAGAUUACAAAAAAAACAGAACAAACAAAAACUGUAAAGGUCUUGAAAAGACUCAUCUUCCGAGUAACAACCAGCUGAAGAAAAAUCACCAAGUGACAGACAGUAGACAGAGGUAA